GAGGUAAUGGCUCACCAAGGCGACGACGGGUAGCCGGCCUGAGAGGGUGACCGGCCACACUGGGACUGAGACACGGCCCAGACUCCUACGGGAGGCAGCAGUGGGGAAUAUUGCACAAUGGGCGAAAGCCUGAUGCAGCAACGCCGCGUGAGGGAUGACGGCCUUCGGGUUGUAAACCUCUUUUAGUAGGGAAGAAGCGAAAGUGACGGUACCUGCAGAAAAAGCACCGGCUAACUACGUGCCAGCAGCCGCGGUAAUACGUAGGGUGCAAGCGUUGUCCGGAAUUAUUGGGCGUAAAGAGCUCGUAGGCGGUUUGUCGCGUCUGCUGUGAAAUCCCGAGGCUCAACCUCGGGCUUGCAGUGGGUACGGGCAGACUAGAGUGCGGUAGGGGAGAUUGGAAUUCCUGGUGUAGCGGUGGAAUGCGCAGAUAUCAGGAGGAACACCGAUGGCGAAGGCAGAUCUCUGGGCCGUAACUGACGCUGAGGAGCGAAAGCAUGGGGAGCGAACAGGAUUAGAUACCCUGGUAGUCCAUGCCGUAAACGUUGGGCGCUAGAUGUAGGGACCUUUCCACGGUUUCUGUGUCGUAGCUAACGCAUUAAGCGCCCCGCCUGGGGAGUACGGCCGCAAGGCUAAAACUCAAAGGAAUUGACGGGGGCCCGCACAAGCGGCGGAGCAUGCGGAUUAAUUCGAUGCAACGCGAAGAACCUUACCAAGGCUUGACAUACACCGGAAACGGCCAGAGAUGGUCGCCCCCUUGUGGUCGGUGUACAGGUGGUGCAUGGUUGUCGUCAGCUCGUGUCGUGAGAUGUUGGGUUAAGUCCCGCAACGAGCGCAACCCUCGUUCUAUGUUGCCAGCGGGUUAUGCCGGG
rnacentral:rRNA from 1 species